rnacentral:rRNA from 1 species
ACGUAGGGGGCGAGCGUUAUCCGGAUUCACUGGGCGUAAAGCGCGUACAGGCGGUUUGGUAAGUUGAUCGUGAAAGCUCCCGGCUCAACUGGGAGAGGUCGUUCACUACUACCGAACUAGAGAGUAGAAGAGGAAGAUGGAAUUCCCGGUGUAGUGGUGAAAUGCGUAGAUAUCGGGAGGAACACCAGUGGCGAAGGCGAUCUUCUGGUCUAUUUCUGACGCUCAUACGCGACAGCUAGGGUAGUAAACGGGAUUAGAGACCCCGGUAAUCCUAGCCGUAAACGAUGUGAACUUGGCGUCGGUGGCUUAAACACCAUCGGUGCCGAAGCAAACGCGCUAAGUUCACCGCCUGGGGACUACGGCCGCAAGGUUA